rnacentral:rRNA from 1 species
GCCGCGGUGAAUACGUUCCCGGGCCUUGUACACACCGCCCGUCACACCACGAGAGUUUGUAACACCCGAAGUCGGUGGGGUAACCCUUCUGGGAGCCAGCCGCCGAAGGUGGGACAGAUGAUUGGGGUGAAGUCGUAACAAGGUAGCCGUAUCGGAAGGUGCGGCUGGAUCACCUCCUUUCUAAGGAA